rnacentral:rRNA from 1 species
GACUCUCGGCAACGGAUAUCUCGGCUCUCGCAUCGAUGAAGAACGUAGCGAAAUGCGAUACUUGGUGUGAAUUGCAGAAUCCCGUGAACCAUCGAGUCUUUGAACGCAAGUUGCGCCCGAAGCCGUCAGGGCGAGGGCACGCCUGCCUGGGCGUCACGC